rnacentral:tRNA from 1 species
GCCUGGGUAGGUCAGUCUUUAGAGCACCAGACUUUUAAUGUGAGGGUCCAGGUUCAAGUCCUUGUCCAGGCA